CAGUGGCGAAAGCGGCUCUCUGGUCUGUCACUGACGCUGAGGCUCGAAAGCGUGGGUAGCGAACAGGAUUAGAUACCCUGGUAGUCCACGCCGUAAACGAUGAGUGCUAGGUGUUAGGCCCUUUCCGGGGCUUAGUGCCGGAGCUAACGCAAUAAGCACUCCGCCUGGGGAGUACGACCGCAAGGUUGAAACUCAAAGGAAUUGACGGGGGCCCGCACAAGCGGUGGAGCAUGUGGUUUAAUUCGAAGCAACGCGAAGAACCUUACCAGGUCUUGACAUCCCGAUGCUAUUCUUAGAGAUAGGAAGUUACUUCGGUACAUCGGAGACAGGUGGUGCAUGGUUGUCGUCAGCUCGUGUCGUGAGAUGUUGGGUUAAGUCCCGCAACGAGCGCAACCCUUAUUGUUAGUUGCCAUCAUUAAGUUGGGCACUCUAGCGAGACUGCCGGUAAUAAACCGGAGGAAGGUGGGGAUGACGUCAAAUCAUCAUGCCCCUUAUGACCUGGGCUACACACGUGCUACAAUGGUCGGUACAACGAGUUGCGAGCCGGUGACGGCAAGCUAAUCUCUGAAAGCCGAUCUCAGUUCGGAUUGGAGGCUGCAACUCGCCUCCAUGAAGUCGGAAUCGCUAGUAAUCGCGGAUCAGCACGCCGCGGUGAAUACGUUCCCGGGCCUUGUACACACCGCCCGUCACACCACGAGAGUUUGUAACACCCGAAGUCGGUGAGGUANCCUUUUAGGGGCCA
rnacentral:rRNA from 1 species